rnacentral:rRNA from 1 species
UGACCUCAGAUCAGGGCGGGACUACCCGCUGAACUUAAGCAUAUCAAUA